rnacentral:rRNA from 1 species
UGGGGAAUAUUGCACAAUGGGCGCAAGCCUGAUGCAGCCAUGCCGCGUGUAUGAAGAAGGCCUUCGGGUUGUAAAGUACUUUCAGUCGGGAGGAAGGUGGUAAGGUUAAUAACCUUAUCAAUUGACGUUACCGACAGAAGAAGCACCGGCUAACUCCGUGCCAGCAGCCGCGGUAAUACGGAGGGUGCAAGCGUUAAUCGGAAUUACUGGGUGUAAAGCGCACGCAGGCGGUUGAUUGAGUCAGAUGUGAAAUCCCCGGGCUUAACCCGGGAAUUGCAUCUGAUACUGGUCAGCUAGAGUCUUGUAGAGGGGGGUAGAAUUCCAUGUGUAGCGGUGAAAUGCGUAGAGAUGUGGAGGAAUACCGGUGGCGAAGGCGGCCCCCUGGACAAAGACUGACGCUCAGGUGCGAAAGCGUGGGGAGCAAACAGG